AUUGAACGCUGGCGGCAUGCCUUACACAUGCAAGUCGAACGGCAACACGGACUUCGGUCUGGUGGCGAGUGGCGAACGGGUGAGUAAUGUAUCGGAACGUACCUUUCAGUGGGGGAUAACGUAGCGAAAGUUACGCUAAUACCGCAUAUUCUGUGAGCAGGAAAGCAGGGGAUCGCAAGACCUUGCGCUGAUUGAGCGGCCGAUAUCAGAUUAGCUAGUUGGUGGGGUAAAGGCCUACCAAGGCGACGAUCUGUAGCGGGUCUGAGAGGAUGAUCCGCCACACUGGAACUGAGACACGGUCCAGACUCCUACGGGAGGCAGCAGUGGGGAAUUUUGGACAAUGGGGGCAACCCUGAUCCAGCCAUGCCGCGUGAGUGAAGAAGGCCU
rnacentral:rRNA from 1 species